AGAGUUUGAUCCUGGCUCAGGAUGAACGCUAGCGGCAGGCCUAACACAUGCAAGUCGAGGGGUAACAGGAGAGCUUGCUCUCGCUGACGACCGGCGCACGGGUGAGUAACGCGUAUGCAACCUACCUUUAACAGGGGGAUAGCCCGAAGAAAUUCGGAUUAAUACCCCAUAUUACUAUAGAUAAGCAUUUAUUUAUAUUAAAAACUCCGGUGGUUAAAGAUGGGCAUGCGUAACAUUAGAUAGUUGGUGAGGUAACGGCUCACCAAGUCUACGAUGUUUAGGGGGCCUGAGAGGGUGGUCCCCCACACUGGUACUGAGACACGGACCAGACUCCUACGGGAGGCAGCAGCGAGGAAUAUUGCGCAAUGGAGGAAACUCUGACGCAGCCAUGCCGCGUGCAGGAUGACGGCCCUACGGGUUGUAAACUGCUUUUAUACAGGAAGAAUUUUCCGCACGUGUGCGGGAUUGACGGUACUGUACGAAUAAGCACCGGCUAACUCCGUGCCAGCAGCCGCGGUAAUACGGAGGUGCAAGCGUUAUCCGGAUUUAUUGGGUUUAAAGGGUGCGUAGGCGGGAUAAUAAGUCAGUGGUGAAAUACUGCAGCUCAACUGUAGAACUGCCAUUGAUACUGUUAUUCUUGAGUUCGAUUGAGGUAGGCGGAAUGUGUAAUGUAGCGGUGAAAUGCUUAGAUAUUACACAGAACACCGAUUGCGUAGGCAGCUUACUAAGUCGACACUGACGCUGAGGCAUGAAAGCGUGGGGAGCGAACAGGAUUAGAUACCCUGGUAGUCCACGCUGUAAACUAUGAUCACUAGCUGUUGGCGAUACAUCGAUCAGCGGCAAAGCGAAAGCAUUAAGUGAUCCACCUGGGGAGUACGGUCGCAAGAUUGAAACUCAAAGGAAUUGACGGGGGCCCGCACAAGCGGUGGAACAUGUGGUUUGAUUCGAUGAUACGCGAGGAACCUUACCUGGGCUUAAAUGCAGAUUGACGUUUCGGGAAACCGGAAUUCUCUUCGGAGCGAUUUGCAAGGUGCUGCAUGGUUGUCGUCAGCUCGUGCCGUGAGGUGUCGGGUUAAGUCCCAUAACGAGCGCAACCCCUAUCGUUAGUUGCCAGCGGAUCAUGCCGGGGACUCUAACGAAACUGCCGGUGUAAACCGAGAGGAAGGUGGGGAUGACGUCAAAUCAGCACGGCCCUUAUGUCCAGGGCC
rnacentral:rRNA from 1 species